rnacentral:rRNA from 1 species
CCUACGGGGGGCAGCAGUGGGGAAUAUUGCACAAUGGGGGAAACCCUGAUGCAGCGACGCCGCGUGAGUGAAGAAGUAUUUCGGUACGUAAAGCUCUAUCAGCAGGGAAGAAAAUGACGGUACCUGACUAAGAAGCCCCGGCUAACUACGUGCCAGCAGCCGCGGUAAUACGUAGGGGGCAAGCGUUAUCCGGAUUUACUGGGUGUAAAGGGAGCGUAGACGGCAGCGCAAGUCUGGAGUGAAAUCCCAUGGCUUAACCAUGGAACUGCUUUGGAAACUGUGCAGCUAGAGUGCAGGAGAGGUAAGCGGAAUUCCUAGUGUAGCGGUGAAAUGCGUAGAUAGUAGGAGGAACACCAGUGGCGAAGGCGGCUUACUGGACUGUAACUGACGUUGAGGCUCGAAAGCGUGGGGAGCAAACAGGAGUAGAUACCCGUGUAGUC